GAGUAGCUGGGGUUACAGGUGCAUGCCACCACGCCUGGAUAAUUUUUUGUAUUUCUAGUAGAGAUGGGGUUUCACCAUGUUGGUCAGUCUGGUCUUGAACUCCUGACCUCAAGUGAUCCACCCACCUCGGCCCCCCAAAGUACUGGGAUUACAGGUGUGAGCCACCGCGCCUGGCCAAGGGUCUUCUUUUUAAGGGUGAAUAAUGUUUUGUUGUGUGUGCGUGUGUGUGUGUGCGUAUGCCACAUUUUCUUUUUCCAUUCAUCUGUUGAUGGAGACUUAGAUUGUUUCCGUAUCUUGGCGAUUGGGAGUAAUGCCGCAGUGAAUAUUGGAGUGCAGAUGUCUUUAUGAGGUGUGAUUUGAUCUCCAUUGAGUAUGUGUCCAGAAGAGGGAUAGCUGGGUCUAUGUAAUGUAUACUGAUAAGCAGCACAGAGUGGGCACAUAGGAUAGCAUAGAUGCCAUUUUUCUCACAGAUAGUUUGCCGACCUCUUCCUAGAGUUACGUUUUUCUUGUUCCUGAGACAAUAAUGUGGCUGUAAGUACUAAUAGAGACAGUGGCAUUUGUGGGUUGCUUAUGAUCUGCCAGCCCCUGCGUUAAGUGUUCUCUGUGUCUGUUUCAGAUGGGUCUGCUGUGUGCAGAGGCUCCAUGGGAUGUGUUGUCUUCAUAGUAGCAGGGCGCUGGACCAUGGGUCCGCAAGGUGGGAUUUUUGGACUGUUGUCUGGAAUAUGUUUCUUUGCAUCCUGCAGAGUCAUGUGCUGUUCCUGGGGCUUGGAUGAUGUAGGGGAAGCAAGGUGAAAGUGGUAUCCCGUGGUUCCACGUUCUGUCCUGCUGUGGGGCUGUCCCUCACAUGCUUUCAGUGGCUGUUGCAGAGGAAGAGCCUCCGGAAAUCUGCGUGGGUAAAGUGAGCUCCCCGGGGGAACCGUCCUCCUCCCUUGAGCGCUGGUGUGUCCAUAGUGUGCUGUGAUCUGGAUUAGCAGUGAGUUUUUCUUUCAGGGUGUGUGUGUAUGAUGUUAGGACCAUAUGCUCCUGACCUUUUCCAACCCAAAAGCGUUUCCAUUUUUUUAAUGCUGGAAGUGUCUUAACUCCUUUUGGGGUCUUAGAAGGACACACGGUGGCCGUGGCUGGGCCUCUGCUCAGCUGGGCUGCUCUCCCUGCCUCAGGCCCUUGACACCAGCCUCCCUCCCUUGCUGGCUCUCUUUCUGUCCUUCCCUGCUCUUGUAUCCAAAAGUGAUCAUGGGUUGCCUGUGUCCCGAUCAUUAACAGUGCAGGGGUAGGAGUGCUGAAAGACAUCUUCCCUGCGUUGGUCCAGCCUUCCCUUUCAAACCCUGGAGCUUUCCCACGCUGCAGCCUUUUUCCAACUAGGCUUUCAGAGCUUGGGCCUUUGUGGGCCCAUGUGAUGUGGUGACUAGACCCACCCCCUGACUUCUGAGGGUUCAUUUUGUCUUUUCAUGUUAGGGAUCCUCCUGCCAGAAACCAGUCUGCAUUUCUCUCUGGGCCCCACGCUGGAAUGAAUUCAGAUAGCAGUGAAGGGCACACGUGAGAACUGCGAAUCACGGGCUUUGCUUCAUGAAAUGUGAAAUCCACAUUGUUUCCACAGGCACCAUCAGUAAUGUCGAACAAAUGGAGAAAGUUGCAGGUGGGGCUAGGAAAGCUGUAUUCCUGUGGAUUACUCUAGCUGGUCAUUUGCCCCGAUUGUGAACUGCUUGAAAGAAAAACGAAACUUCUAAGAUGUUUGUCCUUUCAUGUCCUUUCUGUUGGGAUUUUUUAUUUGGUGUGCGUGAAUGAGGAGCUUCGCCCUGCUUGAAUGGGACCCCUCUCAGUGGUGUCAGCUUGGGGAGGAGGAGAUGGCCCUGGAGACUAAAUACUUGUAUGCUUUCUUACCCUCUUAGGUCUCAGCCUUAGAUCCAAGGACAGUCCAAGGAAGUCCUAAGACCAUGGAGUUGGUGAUCUGGGAUCUGGGUUUGCUGAUAUUUCUCACCGUGAAUCUCUUGGUGGUGUUUGUGGGCACGAGAGGGGCAGAGAAUGGAGAGUGAGGCUACCACAUGAAGCGUCACCAGAGCUGCUCCCUGCUGCCUGCUCAGAGCACCCCGGAUCCACUGUUCAAUCUGCACAAGAUUCGGGGUCCAGACAUGGGAGACUUCAGCUGCCUCAGAGGACCGUGGACAGGGAAGGCCAGCCUCGCAUCCCUCUGUCCAUGCCUGGAAUGACUUUAAUAACCAAGAGUUUUAUUUUUGAAUUUGUAGCUGUCGUUCACUUUUUACCCACCCAUUCAAUAAACCUUACAGAAUUGCUCCA
ensembl:lncRNA SNHG17 small nucleolar RNA host gene 17